rnacentral:lncRNA from 1 species
GUGAGUAGUAUUGUUAGAGUUAGCCUCAGUGUUAAGUAAGGGGUAGUGUUUUUUUUCCAUGUUUCUGGCCAUUGCAGUGUGGCUCUGAUGGGUAGUGUUGUGUUCCAGUUUUAGCUAGGGUUAGGGUUUGGGUUGGGGUGAUAGGUAGCAUUGAAAUUGAAAUGCCUGUGUCUUCAAGUGUGGGUUUGAAAGUGAGUAUUAGCGUAAGUUCAUGGUGAGGGUUAGGUGUAAUGUAGAAUUUCAAGUCCCUGGGUAUUGGAAUGCGGUCCUGCUGCGUAGAUUUAGGGUUAGGAUUACUUUUAGGUUUAGGGUUCCAAUGCAUGUACCUGAGGUUUGGAGUGUGGGUAUGAGUUUUAGGUUUAGGGAUCUUCUGUUGGGAAAUGUCAGAUAGUGCAGAAGCCCAGGUCCCUGAAAAUCACUUCUGGACAAUACGGUUUGUGUCCGAAUUCAGCUGACAGUUAGGGAUGGCACGUGGAUCAAGUACCUGGUUAUUGUAGUGUGAGUAAGAUUGUUCGUGUUAGGAUUAUUGUUAGGUAAGAUAUAGUGUAAUUUUAUAUGUUCCUGGACUUUGCAGUGUGUCUCUGAUGGGUAGUUGUAGGGUUAGCGAUGUAGCUCGGGAUAGGCUUAGGUUUGGGGUCCUGAACAGCGUUGCCAUUGAAAUGCCUGUGUCUUCCAGUGUGG